rnacentral:tRNA from 1 species
GGGGAUGUGGCUCAGUGGUAGAGUUCUUGCCUUAUAUGCACAUGGCCCUGGGUUCAAACCCUAGCGCCACCA